GAAAUUGCGGGUGCUAUAAUGCAAGUCGAGCGAAUCUGAUGGGAGCUUGCUCCCUGAUGAUUAGCGGCGGACGGGUGAGUAACACGUGGGUAACCUGCCUGUAAGACUGGGAUAACUCCGGGAAACCGGGGCUAAUACCGGAUAACUUUUUUCUUCGCAUGAAGGAGAAUUGAAAGAUGGCUUCUGCUAUCCCUUUCCGAUGGGCCCCCGGCGCAAUAACUAAUUGGGGAGGGAACGGCUCCCCCAGGGGACCAUGCCUAACCCAAUUGGGAGGGUGGUCGGGCCCCCUGGGACUGGAACCCCGGCCCAAAUCCUACCGGAGGGAGCCAUAAGGAAUCCUCCCCAAUGGACCAAAGUCUGAACGAACCACCCCCCCUGGGUGAUGAAAGGUUUCCGAUCCUAAAACUCUGGUGGUAGGGAAGAACCAGUAACCUUCCAAUAAGGGGGGACCUUGGCCGUACCUAACCCGAAAGCCACCGCUUACUACCUGGCAGCCGCCGGCGUAAUACCUAAGUGGCAAGCCUUGGUCGGAAUAAUGGCGGAAGGCGCGCAAGCCGGUUCUUAGUCCGAUGUUAAAUCUUGCGGUCAACGCAAGCGGCCAUUGGAACUGGGAGACUUGAGUGCAGAAGAGGAGAGUGGAAUUCCACGUGUAGCGGUGAAAUGCGUAGAGAUGUGGAGGAACACCAGUGGCGAAGGCGACUCUCUGGUCUGUAACUGACGCUGAGGCGCGAAAGCGUGGGGAGCGAACAGGAUUAGAUACCCUGGUAGUCCACGCCGUAAACGAUGAGUGCUAAGUGUUAGAGGGUUUCCGCCCUUUAGUGCUGCAGCUAACGCAUUAAGCACUCCGCCUGGGGAGUACGGCCGCAAGGCUGAAACUCAAAGGAAUUGACGGGGGCCCGCACAAGCGGUGGAGCAUGUGGUUUAAUUCGAAGCAACGCGAAGAACCUUACCAGGUCUUGACAUCCUCUUGACCUCCCUAGAGAUAGGGAUUUCCCUUCGGGGACAGGAGUGACAGGUGGUGCAUGGUUGUCGUCAGCUCGUGUCGUGAGAUGUUGGGUUAAGUCCCGCAACGAGCGCAACCCUUGACCUUAGUUGCCAGCAUUCAGUUGGGCACUCUAAGGUGACUGCCGGUGACAAACCGGAGGAAGGUGGGGAUGACGUCAAAUCAUCAUGCCCCUUAUGACCUGGGCUACACACGUGCUACAAUGGAUGGUACAAAGGGCUGCAAGACCGCGAGGUUUAGCCAAUCCCAUAAAACCAUUCUCAGUUCGGAUUGUAGGCUGCAACUCGCCUACAUGAAGCCGGAAUCGCUAGUAAUCGCGGAUCAGCAUGCCGCGGUGAAUACGUUCCCGGGCCUUGUACACACCGCCCGUCACACCACGAGAGUUUGUAACACCCGAAGUCGGUGAGGUAACCUUUUGGAGCCAGCCGCCGAAGGUGAACCAGGAUUG
rnacentral:rRNA from 1 species